GACGAACGCUGGCGGCGUGCUUAACACAUGCAAGUCGAACGGAAAGGCCCUGCUUUUGUGGGGUGCUCGAGUGGCGAACGGGUGAGUAACACGUGAGUAACCUGCCCUUGACUUUGGUAUAACUUCUGGAAACUGGUGCUAAUACCCGAUAGGAUCUCCUGCUGCAUGGUGGGGGUUGGAAAGUUUCGGCGUUUGGGGAUGGUCUCGCGGCUUAUCAGCUUGUUUGUGGGGUAGUGGCUUACCAAGGCUUUGACGGGUAGCCGGACUGAGAGGGUGACCGGCGACAUUGGGACUGAGAUACGGCCCAGACGCGUACGGGAGGCAGCAGUGGGGAAUAUUGCACAAUGGGAGGAAGCCUGAUGAAGCAAAGCAGCGUGCGGGAUGACGGCCUUCGGGUUGAAAACCGAUUUCGAAUGUGACGAAGAGGGAGUGACGGUAAUGGGUAAAGAAGCACCGGCUAACUACGUG
rnacentral:rRNA from 1 species